GAAUGCCUACAACAUAGUGUUAAUGCAUCAAAUCCCAUUAGAACUCCGAAGUUAAUCACACUCAGGAUAGAGUAGUAAUGGGAUGGGUGACCGCUCGGGAAGUUUAGUGUUUUACAUGCC
rnacentral:rRNA from 1 species